AUUGAACGCCGGCGGCAUGCCUUACACAUGCAAGUCGAACGGCAGCACGGAGCUUGCUCUGGUGGCGAGUGGCGAACGGGUGAGUAAUAUAUCGGAACGUACCCAAGAGUGGGGGAUAACGUAGCGAAAGUUACGCUAAUACCGCAUACGAUCUAAGGAUGAAAGCAGGGGACCUUCGGGCCUUGUGCUCCUGGAGCGGCCGAUAUCUGAUUAGCUAGUUGGUGAGGUAAAGGCUCACCAAGGCAUCGAUCAGUAGCUGGUCUGAGAGGACGACCAGCCACACUGGAACUGAGACACGGUCCAGACUCCUACGGGAGGCAGCAGUGGGGAAUUUUGGACAAUGGGGGCAACCCUGAUCCAGCAAUGCCGCGUGAGUGGAGAAGGCCUUCGGGUUGUAAAGCUCUUUUGUCAGGGAAGAAACGGUGAAGGCUAAUAUCCUUUGCUAAUGACGGUACCUGAAGAAUAAGCACCGGCUAACUACGUGCCAGCCGCCGCUGUAA
rnacentral:rRNA from 1 species